AACGAACGCUGGCGGCAGGCUUAACACAUGCAAGUCGAGCGCCCCGCAAGGGGAGCGGCAGACGGGUGAGUAACGCGUGGGAACGUACCUUUUGGUUCGGAACAACUCCGGGAAACUGGAGCUAAUACCGGAUAAGCCCUAACGGGGAAAGAUUUAUCGCCGAAAGAUCGGCCCGCGUCUGAUUAGCUAGUUGGUGAGGUAACGGCUCACCAAGGCGACGAUCAGUAGCUGGUCUGAGAGGAUGAUCAGCCACACUGGGACUGAGACACGGCCCAGACUCCUACGGGAGGCAGCAGUGGGGAAUAUUGGACAAUGGGCGCAAGGCGGAUCCAGCCACGCCGCGUGAGUGAUGAAGGCCUUAGGGUUGUAAAGCUCUUUUGUCCGGGAAGAUAAUGACUGUACCGGAAGAAUAAGACCAGGCUAACUUCGUG
rnacentral:rRNA from 1 species